rnacentral:lncRNA from 1 species
CUUCGGAUUUCCCUCUCCCCAGGAAGCGGAUGGCAGCGCAAACCUUCAGGAGUCCCGGUGCCAGGGUGGACACAGAGCCUGCUGUUCUCUGUUAGCUCCGGCUUGCAGUGUGUAAUGUUUUCCUUCCUUGUGUGGCAUGUCUGCGCCUUUGUUACCUCAAAGUUCACUUACUUGGCCCCGGCAGAUUCCGUGCACCUGUUAUUGGCUGCAGCCAAGAACUCUGACCUGGUAGAAAGCAAUGUGUUCCAAGCCCCUGGCCAGAUGAUUGGUGCCACAGGACCAUGACUACCCAGCUUCCAAAUGAGCAUUUUCUGG